GGUCGCUUGCCACCGGGUAAGCGACGGAAGUGUCUGACACACUCCGUUAGGUCUCAGAAGGAGUGCGCUCAGGCACUUUUUCGCUU
rnacentral:ncRNA from 1 species